GGGAUUAGAUACCCCACUAUGCCUAGCCCUAAACAUCGAUACUAACCUACUUAUUUUAUCCGCCAGGGUACUACGAGCACCAGCUUAAAACCCAAAGGACUUGGCGGUGCUUUAGAUCCACCUAGAGGAGCCUGUUCUAGAACCGAUAAUCCCCGUUAAACCUCACCUUUCCUUGCCCUAUCCGCCUAUAUACCGCCGUCGUCAGCUUACUCUGUGAGGAGCUUGUAGUAAGCACAAUCGGCACAGCCCAAAACGUCAGGUCGAGGUGUAGCGAAUGGAAAGGGAAGAAAUGGGYUACAUUCAAUAUAAAUAAUGAAUACGGAUGAUGUUUUGAAAAAGACAUCUGAAGGAGGAUUUAGCAGUAAGCAGGGAAUAGAGUGCCCUGCUGAAAUUGGCCCUGAAGCGCGUACACACCGCCCGUCACUCUCCCCGAGCUAAUAAAAGCACAUUACUAAUAAACAAAACCUGCAAAGGGGAGGCAAGUCGUAACAUGGUAAGCGUACCGGAAGGUGCGCUUGG
rnacentral:rRNA from 1 species